rnacentral:rRNA from 1 species
GAUGAACGCUGGCGGCGUGCCUAAUACAUGCAAGUCGAGCGAACAGACGAGGAGCUUGCUCCUCUGACGUUAGCGGCGGACGGGUGAGUAACACGUGGAUAACCUACCUAUAAGACUGGGAUAACUUCGGGAAACCGGAGCUAAUACCGGAUAAUAUAUUGAACCGCAUGGUUCAAUAGUGAAAGACGGUUUUGCUGUCACUUAUAGAUGGAUCCGCGCCGCAUUAGCUAGUUGGUAAGGUAACGGCUUACCAAGGCAACGAUGCGUAGCCGACCUGAGAGGGAGAUCGGCCACACUGGAACUGAGACACGGUCCAGACUCCUACGGGAGGCAGCAGUAGGGAAUCUUCCGCAAUGGGCGAAAGCCUGACGGAGCAACGCCGCAUGAGUGAUGAAGGUCUUCGGAUCGUAAAACUCUGUUAUUAGGGAAGAACAAAUGUGUAAGUAACUAUGCACGUCUUGACGGUACCUAAUCAGAAAGCCACGGCUAACUACGUG